CUUUUAAAAACCCUUCUUAACAAGAAGCAAGUACAACACGAUGCAUAAAAUAAAUUAAGCACAAGUUUAUUUCUACAUGAGAGAAACUAGAUAUUUCUGCCUUUGGGAGACUGCGUUUCUGAUAAAUUUUGGCAACCCAUCAACAACAGCUUUCAGAGACACCAGCAGGUUGAGGAACCAAGAGCAUAAUUGUUAUGAUGAUGUCUAAGGGGGCCAAUUCUGGGCUUAAAAUCACACUGUUUCAGCUUAAGAGAGUAUUCCAGCCUCCAGUAAAUAGAAAGCUUGCAGAGAACAGUCUAGGAGGGCAAUGGCAACGUGGUAACAGUACCAAUGUGAACUUGAACCUUCCUUCUUUCUGAGAAACCUGUAAUGCUGUCUAGCUUUGUUUUUGUCUGUUUGUUUUAAACUGACUACACUUCACAGUCAUUCUCAUGAGGCAGGUAGUUCAGAGAGGCCCUCUAGUUUAUUUCACAAAUUGGAAAUCAAUGAACUUGAGUUCACUGAAAAUUUGCUGAGGCCUUCCUAUGGGGGAGGCCCUUUGCAAGUCACUUAUGGGCUAGGGAUGGUGGGACUAAUUCAUUCAUUCAAACAGCAGGCAUUUAAUAAAUGAGGAGCAUAGACUAGGGACUGUUCUUUGUACUGAGGAUGGACAAGAUGGACAGGCCCUGUUCUUAUGGAGCUUCUGUCCUAGAGCUCCAUGAGACACUAGGAGACAAGCAGUUAACAGCUAAACCAAAAUACAACAUCACAAGUAAGCACUGUGAAGAAAACUGACCGGGCACGGUGGCUCAUGCCUGUAAUCCCAGCACUUUGGGAGGCCGAGGCAGGCAGAUUACCUGAGGUCAGUUCGAAGCCAGCCUGGCCAACAU
rnacentral:lncRNA from 10 species